AAACUAUGAUGAGGGCAUUGAGAACAGUAGUCCUUGAACCUCUCCCAUGCUUCACUGAAGCUCUCUAGACCUUUCUGUUGAAACCCAAAGAUUUCAUUUCUGAUCUU
rnacentral:snoRNA from 1 species